UCUUAUGGAUGAGCAAAGUAGGUGGUUUCUUGAGAUGGAUUCUAUUCCUUGAGAAGAUGCUGUGAA
rnacentral:pre_miRNA from 1 species